CAUUUUGUUUACAUAAAAUCCCUUGUCAUUUCACCACUAGGUUUGAAACCCAGACAGCACGAAGCAUCUUGCCGACGUCAAAAUCAGAUCAACAGACAGGGACAUCAGCCUUCUCUUGGGAAUAGGCCAGAUAUGCCAUAACAAGAAAUGGUGUUUUGCCCCUGCGGUUGUGAAGAGGAUGCUGUGGAGGUGGCAGCAUGAACGUGUCACACAGACAUUGGCUAAACUACUCGGCUUCUACACUUGCCCUCAGAGUUCACAUAUGGUGAAGUGCACAGGUGUCCAGUCAGGUUCAGACUGAUGCUGGUAACAAGAGGAAAACAUGCUAAUUGAUGACCUUUCCAGCAUGUCCAACUCAUCAGCAUCAGGGGAGGAGAGUCGGUGAAGGUGGUGCACCAUCCAGGACCAGUCAUGGGCCACCAACACCUCUGCAAAAUCUGCACUUCUUGUGAACCCUCUAGAAGACACUACAACCACAAAACUGCUAAUAAACCAUCACAUACUACAUCA